rnacentral:rRNA from 1 species
AUAAGGCAUCAGGUAGCAGAAGUUCGAUCAUGUCAGAUUGAACUGGCGGAUGCACACACAUGCAAGUCGAACGGCAGCACGGACUUCGGUCUGGUGGCGAGUGGCGAACAGAUUGAAGUAAUGUAUCGGACGACCCCUAUAAUCGCUUGGGAUAACUUUACUGGCCUUAGCUAUAUACCGCAUCUCGCCCUUCAGGAAAGCAGGACCUUCAAGACUCGCACUAUUAAACGGCCGAUAUCAGGAUUAGCUGGUUGGUGGGAGUAACGGCUCACCAAGGCGACGAUCCGUAGCUGGUUUGAGAGGACGACCAGCCACACUGGGACUGAAGAGACGGCCCAGACUCCUGCCAGGAGGCAGCAGUGGGGUACGGACAAUGGAAACCUGAUCCAGCCAUCCCGUGUGCGAUGAAGGCCUUCGGGUUGUAAAGCACUUUUGGCAGGAAAAACGGCACGGGAUAAUACCCGAUGCAACUGACAGUACCUGCAGAAUAAGCACCGACUAACUACAUUAACAGCCGCGGUAAUACAUAGGAGUGCAAGCGUUAAUCGGAAUUACUGGGCGUAAAGCGUGCGCAGGCGGUUCGGAAGAAGAUGUGAAAUCCCAGGCUAACUUUGGAACUGCAUUUUUAACUACCGAGCUAGAGUGUGUCAGAGAGUGGGAGUCACAUGUGCUAGUGAAAUGCGUAGAUACCGGAGGAACACCGAUAGCGAAGGCAGCCUCCUGGGAUAACACUGACGCUCAUGCACGAAAGCGUGGGGGCAAACAGGAUUAGAUGCCCUGGUAGUCCACGCCCUAAACAGUGUCAACUAGCUGUUGGGGCCUUAAAGGCACAUGGUAGCGCAAUAACGCGUGAAGUUGACCGCCUGGGGAGUACGGUCGCAAGAUUAAAACUCAAAGGAAUUGACGGGGACCCGCACAAGCGGUGGAUGAUGUGGAUUAAUUCGAUGCAGCACUUGAAAAACCUUACCUACCCUUGACAUGUCUGGAAUCGAAGAGAUUUGGGAGUGCUCGCAAAGGAAGGGAACGGAACACAGGUGCUGCAUGGCUGUCGUCAGCUCGUGUCGUGGCAGAUGUUGGUUGAGUCCGCAACGAGCGCUUGGCCCUUGUCAUUAGUUGCUACGAAAGGGCACUCUAAUGAGACUGCCGGUGACAAACCGGAGGAAGGUGGGGAUGACGUCAGAAUCCAUGGCCUGCAUCAGGUAGGGCUUCACACGUCGCAAAUGGUCAAGGACAGAAGGUCGCCAACCCGCGAGAGGGGGCUAAUCCGAAACCCGAUCGUAGUCCGGAUGCUGAUCUGCAUCGGCUGUGAAGUCGGAAUCGCUAGUAAUCGCGGAUCAACUGUCGCUGGUGGAGGCCAUUCGGGUCUUGUACACCGCCCGUCACACCAUGGGAGUGGGUUUUACCAGAAGUAGUUAGCUAACGUAAGGAGGGCGAUUACCACAGUAGGAUUAUGACUGGGGUGAAGUCGUAACAAGGUA